GACGUAGGGCGCGAGCGUUGUCCGGAUUUAUUGGGCGUAAAGAGCUCGUAGGCGGCUUGUCGCGUCGUUCGUGAAAACUUGGGGCUUAACCCUGAGCUUGCGGUCGAUACGGGCAUCACUGGAGUUCGGCAGGGGAGACUGGAAUUCCUGGUGUAGCGGUGAAAUGCGCAGAUAUCAGGAGGAACACCGGUGGCGAAGGCGGCUUGCUGGGCCUUACCUGACGCUGAGGAGCGAAAGCGUGGGGAGCAAACAGG
rnacentral:rRNA from 1 species